AGAGUUUGAUCCUGGCUCAGAACGAACGCUGGCGGCGCGUUUUAAGCAUGCAAGUCGCACGGUAAAGGUACUUCGGUAUCUCUAGAGUGGCGGACGGGUGAGUAACACGUGGAUAACCUACCCUUUGGUUGGGAAUAGCUCAUGGAAACAUGGGGUAAUACCGAAUACGACCACUGCACCACAAGGUGGAGUGAGGAAAGGCGCUACGGCGCCGCCGAAGGAUGGGUCCGCGGUCCAUUAGCUAGUUGGUGAGGUAAGAGCUCACCAAGGCGAUGAUGGAUAGCCGGCCUGAGAGGGCGACCGGCCACAUUGGGACUGAGACACGGCCCAGACUCCUACGGGAGGCAGCAGCUAAGAAUCUUCCGCAAUGGACGAAAGUCUGACGGAGCGACGCCGCGUGAACGAUGAAGGCCGUGAGGUUGUAAAGUUCUUUUCCGAGGGGAGAAUAAGGAUGGCAGGGAAUGGCCGUCUGAUGACGUGAACUCGGGAAUAAGC
rnacentral:rRNA from 1 species